rnacentral:lncRNA from 13 species
AAAUAAACUGUAUAUAGACCAUAUAUAUACACGUGUGUAUGUAUAGAGCAGUCUUCAUUUUCUUGCCAGCCUAUUCCCCUCUUAAACUGAUUUCACUGCAAGAGUUUAUUAUUCAGCUUACCUGAUCUUUUCUUCAUGGAUUCUCAUUAAUACAUAUUGAAAAGGGAUAAAGGGAGGUACUCUGGGAUGUAAUGGGCAAGAUUUUCUUCAAAUCUUUUUGCCAUUAAUUUUCAAGGAAAAUCUGAUUUUUUUUUUUUUUUUUUUUUUUUUUUUAAUAGGAACAAUGUUAGGGGUUUUUCGGACAAGAUUCUGUUUUCUGUUAGACUCUUUGUGAAAGGCAUUUUUGGUUGAAAUUGAGAAUGCUUGCUUCCUGAAAAUAAAACCUUUUUUUCUGGUGGUACAAAAUAAACCAGAAAUGUUAAACUCCUUGUAGCUCAAGUAACGUUAACCUAUACGUGAAACAUCUUUUGAGUAUUACAAUAUCUUAAUAGUAUGCUUACACUUACAAGUAAAGAUUUAAUUAUGCAGGUUUUUUAACGAAAUUGUAGCAUGUUCCUGUAAAUUUCCCAGCUAUGGUUAUGUAUUUUCACGUAUUAUCACAGUGCAGCUACUAAAAAAACCUGUGUGUAAUUUAACCUCGUGGGGUUUUUUUGUUUGGUUUUUCUUUUGUCUUUCAGAAAUGAAUUCCUUUAUUGCAAGAAAUCAUGGUUAUUUAUUGAUUCAGAAAGAAAACGGACUGAUAUUCUCUUGGGUGUUCUGAACAACAUGUGUUUUAUCCUGUUCAUCACCAGAAAUAGUCUCUUUAACAAGAAACUCUUCCCUAGACCUUGAAGAUAAGAUCUGAUUCAGUAAGGUGGAGUGGCAGGCGUGCAGAGAAUCAAAUAGUCCAUCUCGAGAUCAUGCAAAGACUCUGGAAAUACAAUUCCAGUGAGUCCUGGCUAUAACACUUUUGAUGCCCAUAUCACUAGCUGCAGUCCUACAAGCACCAAAGGGUGGAUGCUGUGGGGGGGUCCAGGCAGCUCUGUGGAACAGUCUCCAAUGGGCUAGUAGGAUGAGAAGGUCCAGGGGUAGUUUGGGAAACAAGGAGAAACAUCACCUCCCAAGACGGUAAACCUACUGAAAAGACGAUUCAAACUCCAGAAGGAC